rnacentral:rRNA from 1 species
GACAGAGGGCGCAAACGUUGUUCGGAAUUACUGGGCGUAAAGCGAGUGUAGGCGGUCUUCUAAGUCGGAUGUGAAAGCCCCGGGCUCAACCCGGGAAGUGCACUCGAAACUGGAAGGCUAGAGUAUCGGAGAGGUUGGUGGAAUUCUCGGUGUAGAGGUGAAAUUCGUAGAUAUCGAGAGGAACACCGGUGGCGAAGGCGGCCAACUGGACGAAUACUGACGCUGAGACUCGAAAGCGUGGGGAGCAAACAGG